rnacentral:rRNA from 1 species
GCACGAAACUUGCCCCGAGAUGAGUUCUCCCUGACUCCUUGAGAGUCCUGAAGGAACGUUGAAGACGACGACGUUGAUAGGCCGGGUGUGUAAGCGCAGCGAUGCGUUGAGCUAACCGGUACUAAUGAACCGUGAGGCUUAACCUUACAACGCCGAAG